AUUGAACGCUGGCGGCAUGCCUUACACAUGCAAGUCGAACGGCAGCACGGGAGCAAUCCUGGUGGCGAGUGGCGAACGGGUGAGUAAUAUAUCGGAACGUGCCCGGUCGUGGGGGAUAACGUAGCGAAAGCUACGCUAAUACCGCAUACGAUCUACGGAUGAAAGCGGGGGAUCGCAAGACCUCGCGCGAUUGGAGCGGCCGAUAUCAGAUUAGGUAGUUGGUGAGGUAAAGGCUCACCAAGCCGACGAUCUGUAGCUGGUCUGAGAGGACGACCAGCCACACUGGGACUGAGACACGGCCCAGACUCCUACGGGAGGCAGCAGUGGGAAUUUGGACAAUGGGCGCAAGCCUGAUCCAGCAAUGCCGCGUGCAGGAUGAAGGCUCGGUGUAAC
rnacentral:rRNA from 1 species